UAGUUCCUAAAUCUAUAGAAGAAUAUUCUAAAUAUAGAAUUUUAUUCAUAGACAUGGAACUAACAGUGGGCGACUUGAAUGAGUCGCAGAAGUUAGAUAGGCCAUCACACCUGCUAAUGUUAUUCCAGUUGGUAGCUCUGUGGUCUAGCAUUAAGGGUAGCGGAAACGUGAAAGUGUGCUAGACGUAAAAAACCUAUUUAACAACCACAAGGAGUACUCAACUCUCACUAACAGGAGG
rnacentral:ncRNA from 1 species